rnacentral:rRNA from 1 species
AUUGAACGCUGGCGGCAUGCCUUACACAUGCAAGUCGAACGGUAACGGGCCUUCGGGUGCCGACGAGUGGCGAACGGGUGAGUAAUGCAUCGGAACGUACCUUUCAGUGGGGGAUAACGUAGCGAAAGUUACGCUAAUACCGCAUAUUCUGUGCGCAGGAAAGCAGGGGAUCGCAAGGCCUUGCGCUGAUUGAGCGGCCGAUGUCAGAUUAGCUAGUUGGUGAGGUAAAGGCUCACCAAGGCGACGAUCUGUAGCGGGUCUGCGAGGAUGAUCCGCCACACUGGAACUGAGACACGGUCCAGACUCCUACGGGAGGCAGCAGUGGGGAAUUUUGGACAAUGGGGGUAACCCUGAUCCAGCCAUGCCGCGUGAGUGAAGAAGGCCUUCGGGUUGUAAAGCUCUUUCGGCCGGGAAGAAAUCGCAUGGGUUAAUACCCUGUGCGGAUGACGGUACCGGCAUAAGAAGCACCGGCUAACUACGUGCCAGCAGCCGCGGUAA